rnacentral:rRNA from 1 species
UACGAAGGGGGCUAGCGUUGCUCGGAAUCACUGGGCGUAAAGGGCGCGUAGGCGGAUCUUUAAGUCGGGGGUGAAAGCCCAGGGCUCAACCCUGGAAUUGCCUUCGAUACUGAAGAUCUCGAGAGCGGAAGAGGUAAGUGGAACUGCGAGUGUAGAGGUGAAAUUCGUAGAUAUUCGCAAGAACACCAGUGGCGAAGGCGGCUUACUGGUCCGGUUCUGACGCUGAGGCGCGAAAGCGUGGGGAGCAAACAGG